UUAGGCACAUACUUUUGGUUAAUAUUUCCAACAGUCCUGAAAGAUGUGGUAUAAAUGUAUCUGUAAUCCCUAGGGGUUUAUUGUGCAAGAAAAAAGCAAAGCACACUGUUGAUUUUUUUUUUUUUUUUGAGACAUAUUGGCUGGUAAAAUGUUGAUACUAAUUAAUUCUGAAGUGGAAACAGGCUUACAGGCUGGCAGACGGGUUAUAAAAUUUUUUUUUUCCAUUGGUCUCAGAAUUGCUAGAAUCGUUGUUUCAACACCAGUAGCUCUGGUCCAGGUUAAUAGUUCUGCCUCCACUCAAUACCACGUUAUACACCAUCUUCCCCACUGUCAGAGGAGCUUGUUGAAGAUAGUUUCUUUACCUGAGAAGUCACACCAUUCUCCUUUACUCCUCUUUCACCAUUUCCCCUCUUCUACCUGACCAGCGUACAUAUUUGUAAACUCUUGUUCCAACCUGUUAGCAUGUUCCUGAUGGAGGACUUCAUGGAAGAAGCGUGGAGUUGAGAAUUUCAACUUUUACUUCUGUUACAGGAAUGGCCUUCAGCCUCACUUAGAUAGAAAGGGCCACAAUAAACUCAGAGGAGAAACAGGCUCAGAAAUGGUGGAAGACAUACUCAUCUUAUUUAUCACUGGGUUUCUGGCCCUUGAUGAAGUACUUGGUAUUUAGACUCUAAACCCUGCCCCCCUUUUUUCCUCAUUACACCAUGAAGCCUCUGGACAAGAUGAAGUAUCUGACUUAUCAGCUUCUGCAACUGAAGAGAGCAUUGCAGAAUAUGAGCCUCUAUCAUGGACCAACCAAUAACUUCAAUAAAAGUGUGAUAAAUGCUGUAUCCCUGGCAGACGAUGAGUAUCUUCAAGAUGGUGAGUAUCUUCAUCUCUGUAUCACCAGGACUUGCCUUAAAAAAGGGACCAUAAUAUAGUCUAUAAGAAACUAUUAAAUAAAUGAAUGAGAAAUUGAUAUCAGGAAAGAAAAAAAGCAAUUAUCAAUCGGGUAUGUGCUGAGGGAUGAGCACUGUCAGGCACUUUUGCCUACACCAUUUUACUAAUUUUCGAGCAAUUCAGUGAGUUAGAUAUUAUCCCCAUUUAAGAAAUGAAGAUAUUGAGGUUUUGAGGGCUUAAAUAAUAACCCAACUUCCCAUGAUUAGCAAAUGGCAGAAACACAGAGCAGGAUGCUGGGUUG